rnacentral:rRNA from 1 species
GAUGAACGCUGGCGGCGUGCCUAAUACAUGCAAGUCGAGCGAACGGACGAGAAGCUUGCUUCUCUGAUGUUAGCGGCGGACGGGUGAGUAACACGUGGAUAACCUACCUAUAAGACUGGGAUAACUUCGGGAAACCGGAGCUAAUACCGGAUGAUAUUUUGAACCGCAUGGUUCAAAAGUGAAAGACGGUCUUGCUGUCACUUAUAGAUGGAUCCGCGCUGCAUUAGCUAGUUGGUAAGGUAACGGCUUACCAAGGCAACGAUGCAUAGCCGACCUGAGAGGGUGAUCGGCCACACUGGAACUGAGACACGGUCCAGACUCCUACGGGAGGCAGCAGUAGGGAAUCUUCCGCAAUGGGCGAACGCCUGACGGAGCAACGCCGCGUGAGUGAUGAAGGUCUUCGGAUCGUAAAACUCUGUUAUUAGGGAAGACCAUAUGUGUAAGUAACUGUGCACAUCUUGACGGUACCUAAUCAGAAAGCCACGGCUAACUACGUG